UUCCCAACAGGCUUGUGGGCAACUCACCCAUGUAACAAAGAUUAUCUUAAAGGCACCCAAACUAUCUUGAAAGUGCCUUUCUGUGACAUUAUUUGAAUAUGUCAGGGCUGGUUUACUAUCCCAGGAACUCGGAGCACUUAGGAAGGCCUAAACUAAGUUACCCUAAUUAAACCUGUUCCCUAUGGAGGAAGAGAACAAUGUUCAUGAAGAAAGAAACGAAAACGUUGUCAUGCCUUUGUCUCAUGAACUGCAUUGGUGUUGCUAAGUCCCAUUCUUUCCAGGAAAGGAAGAUCCCAAGUGGCAUUUGAAUUGAAGCCACAAUGAAAACUGUUUUAACACCAAGGGAACAAGGCAUAUAGCAAAAAAAAAAAAAAAAAAGAGCAGAAGCCCUCUGGAACAAUGGGAAGAAAGCAAGUCUGCGUGUCCACUGACUGGAGGAGGCCAGGAUGAGGCCACAAGUACACAGGACUCAGGCCAGUGGGACAGAGAGACUUCAAACAAGUCGCUGGGUUUUGGUUUCAAUAGGAAACGUGGGAAGCUUAAAGCAACAGAGGCCACGACGUCAUUCAUUCUAAAACACCUUUCAUCUGUGUACUGGCGGGUGGAUGGGGAAGCAGGAGUAAGGAGACCAGUUCAGGACCCUGGCAGGAAGGAUAUGAAGAAGGUCAGAUCGGCCUUGAAAUGCAGUCUAAAGGAGUUGGAUGGGUGCCCCCAGGAAGAAAGGACCAAGGAUGACUAAGAGGUGUGGGCGUUUGAACUUGGUCCCUAGUUGGCGUCACUGCUUGGGAAGUUCCGGAUCCUUUAGGAGGUGCAGCCUCGCAGGACAAAGUACACGAGAGGAUGAGGAAGUGGCCUUGAGAGCAUAUAGCCUUGCUUGGGUUCAAGUUUGCCUUCUCCAUCUUCUACAUGUGAAUAAAGAAAUUGUCUCAUGCACAGACCAUGUUGCAAAGCAGAAGAAUGAUGUGGAAAUAACGGAAGUCAAAUAUUCUAGAGUAAGAGGGCCAACAUCACAGUGGUUGCCCUCUGCGGAGUAGUG